rnacentral:rRNA from 1 species
UACGUAGGGUGCAAGCGUUUGUCCGGAAUUAUUGGGCGUAAAGAGCUCGUAGGCGGUUUGUUGCGUCGGCUGUGAAAUCCCGAGGCUCAACCUCGGGUCUGCAGUCGAUACGAGCAAACUAGAGUGUUGCAGGGGAGACUGGAAUUCCUGGUGAUAGCGGUGAAAUGCGCAGAUAUCAGGAGGAACACCGGUGGCGAAGGCGGGUCUCUGGACAGUUCCAUGACGGCUGAGGCAACGAAGGCCAGGGGAGCAAACGGG